UAAUUUGAUUUAAUAUAAGGAAACUUACUAAGUUUAAAUAUAAUAAAAAUUAAUAAAUUGAAAACUCUUUUUUAAUUUCGUAGGUAGUAGUAUAUAACCGUUCUUAGUUAAUAGAGUAAUUUAUUUACUUAAUUAUAAUAACGAACAAGACUUUAAUUUAUUAAAUAGCCUGUAUUACUUUAGUAAUAUACUAACUUCUUAAAAAGACUAUCGGCUUAAAUUAAUAGAAAUUUAAGGUAAUAAUAGGUCUAUAAUGCCCUUAGAUAUUCUAGGCCGUAUAUACGCUAUACUAAUAUAGCUAACGAAUAUUCCUUUAGCCGGAAGGUUCGGGUAAUCUUAUUAAAUUAUAUUAUAUUAGGAAUAAAGUAUUAUAAUUAUUACUCUUCAACGAAGAAUCCCUAAUAAAUAUAAAUUAUCAGCUUAUAUUAAUUACGUCCCUACUCUUUAUAUAUACCGCCCGUUGCUACUACUAAUUAAAUAAUUUAAUAAAGCUUCUAGAUUGGUUUAAGGAGGUCGGUAACAACUACCUAAGGCCGGAAAACUAUUUAAAUUUAGUUAUUUAAAAGAAGUAAAAGUUAUAAUAAAGUCUCUAUUAGUAAACUAGCGGAAGGAUUAUUAUAGAAUUAUAAAACUCUUACAAAUUAUUGUAAAUUUUACUUAUAUAGUUAUUUUGGUAUUAGUAGUCCGGAAAAGNNNNNNNNNNNNNNNNNNNNNNNNNNNNNNNNNNNNNNNNNNNNNNNNNNNNNNNNNNNNNNNNNNNNNNNNNNNNNNNNNNNNNNNNNNNNNNNNNNNNUUUGCUAGGAUUGAGGUUCGUAUAUUUAUAAGGAUACUAGUGUAAUAGUUAUUAAUAAUUUGUUUUAAAAUAUAGAUUAAGGAAUUAAGGUUUUAUGUAAAUAUUUAAGUAUAAAAUUUGUAUAUAUAAUGAAAGUAAAUGUAAGUAAGAGUUUUAGUGUAUUAUCGACCGAUUUUAAUAUAUUCGGAUAAAUUUAAGUAAAAGCGUUAAAUUUUAGAUUUAAAAGAUAGUAAAUUAUAUUUAAAAAGGGUGAAGCUAGAGGAAAUUCUAAUAGAGGUUCGUAGCGGUUUUAAUAUAUAAAUCGAUCGUUAAAUUUAAAUAUAGGGGCAAAAGACUAAUCGAACUAUCUAGUAGCUAAUUAUUGCUGAAGUUUCCUUUAAGAUAAUAAUAUUAUUCUUUAGUUUUAUAAAGUAAAGCGAAUAAUUAGGGAUUCGGGGGCGCUUUUUAGCCUUCAUCUAUUUUUAAACUUUAAAUAUAUAAGAAGCCCUUAUUAUUUAAUUAAAUGUAAAUAUUCGAAUAUAUUAAUAUUAGUAGGCUAUUUUUAGUAAGUAGAAUUAGUAAUACGGAAUAAACCGAACGUGGGGUUAAAGUACUAGAGUGGAUGCUUAUUAAAUACUAUAAAAGGCGUUAAUAUAUUUUAAUAGUAGGAUAGUAGCUAUAGAAGUUGGAAUCUGCUAAGGACUAUAUAAUAAUUUACUUACCGAAUAUAUUAGCCCUAAAAAUAAAUAGCGUUUAAAUAUCCUACCUAUACCCCGCCCUUAGGGUAGAAAUAAUACUUUAAGGAGUAGGCGGCUAUAGAAGUUAAUAAUGAAAUUUAGAGUAUAAAUUUGGGUUGAAUAGCCUUUAAUAUAAAUUUUAAUAGUAAUAGUAAAUAUUUUAAUAAGAAUUUAAAGGACCGAAGUGGGGAAAGGUUCUAUAUAAAUAGUAGUUGGAUAUAAGUUAGUCGAUCCUAAAUUAUAGGGAAAUUCCGUUUUAAAGGGGCACUUAUACCCUAUAUAGCGAAAAGGAAGCCGGUUAAUAUUCCGGUACUUAAAUAUAGGUUUUACGUAGUAAUACAAUUAAAUAUAAAGAUAAUAGCGGGGGCCCUAGGUAGAAUUCUCUUUUCUUUUUAAUAGUCUAUUACCUUAAAAAUAAUUUAUUUAGAAAUAGGAUUUAAUAGUUGGAAAAGCCCGAUACUUCUAUCGGGUCCAAUAUAUUCUCAAUAUCCCUUAAAAAUCUACGGAAAGGAAUAAUUCUUAUACUAGGUUGUCUUUAUAAUUAUAGUAGGUCUCUAAGGUAAAUAACCUCUAAUUAAUAGAAUAAUAUAAAUAAGGGAAAUUAGUAAAAUAGAUCUAUAAUUUUAAGAAAAGGAUUAACUCUAAGGGUUAGGUACGUCGGGCUUUAGGUAGACGCCCUAGGAGUAGAUUGCUACUAGCCGGGUAAUUAACCGGCGGUUUUUAAUAUCCGAGUAUAAAAGCCUUUAAUAGACUUUAAUUGUCCGGCGUAUAUUUAAUAACUAAUUUAGAAUUAAUAUAGAUAAGGGGAAUUUAAUUAUUUAAUUAAAAUAUAGUAUUGUAAUAAUUAGAAAGUAGUAUUAAUAUAAUAUAAUUUCUAUUUAGUACUUUGAAUAUUAAAGUAAAGAAAUUUAAUUAAGUACGGAUAAACGGCGGGAAUAAUUAUAAUUCUCUUAAAGUAACUAAAUACUUCGUUAUUUAAUUAGUAAUAUAUAUAAAUAAAUUAAUAAAAUUCUUAUUAUCCUUAUCUAUUAUUUAGCGAAACUAUAACUAAAGGAACAGGCUUAGUAAAAUUAGUAGGGAAAGAAGACCCUAUUAAAUUUAACUCUAAUUUAAUAUUAUAAAAAGAUAUAGGAAAUAUAAAAUAGGUAGGAACUUUAGCGCUAGUAAAAUACUACUAUUCCUAUUAUUUUUUUACUUAUUUAAUUAAGCAGGGCUAGAUUUUCGUUUAACUUCUAAUUUUAAAGUCCUUUAUAGGCUAACCUAGGUUAAAGAUAUUAUUAGGUAGGGAAUUUAACUAGGGCAGUAUAUUUAUUAAACUAUAAUAUAAGUAUUUUAAAGGGGGUUUAUAGAGAAUAGAAAUUUCUAAUAGAAUAAAAGGGUAAAAGUCCCCUUAAUUUUAAUUUUUAGUAUAAAUACAAAUUAUAAAAGUAUAACCUAUCGAUCCUUUAGUCCCUCGAAAUUUGAGGCUAGAGGUACUAAAAAAAUUAUUAUAGGGAUAAUUAAUUUAUAGCGGCUAAAUAUUUAUAGCGACGUUGCUUUUUAAUCCUUUAAUAUUAGCUCUUCCUAUUAUACCGAAGUAGAAUUUAAUAAAUAUUAGAUUAUUCACCUACUAAUAAGGAAUAUAAAUUAGGUUUAAACUAUUAUAAAAUAGGUUAGUUUUACCCUAUUAAUAACCUUAUUAUAAUAGUAAUUAAAUUUAAUAUAAAAGGAACCAUUUAUUUAAAUAAUUAGUUUUUAUAAUUGUCCGACCGGGUAAUACUGUAAUACUACUAUCUACUAAAUAAUAAUUAAACGCCUCUAAAUUAAAAUCUAUAUUAGAAUAUAAUAAUACCUCUAAUAUAUUAUAGACGUAUAAAAAUAGGCUCUAACCUUGUAUCUUAAUAAGCGAUUCCUCUAUUAGCCUUAAAGUAGCUAGUAAUAAUUUACGUAUUGUAAUUUUAAUAUACGUUGGAUUAAAUCCUUUAUAAACGAUUUAAAUGUAUAAAAGGGUCUUAUAAGUAGUAGAGUAGCCUUAUUAUUACAAUUUACUAAGGGUAAGCCCUCCUUCGCUUAGAUUUUU
rfam:Neurospora crassa OR74A unplaced genomic scaffold supercont12.8, whole genome shotgun sequence.